UUUUUUAGAAUAAUACAACAACAGUUCUAAGUAUUUAUGUUAUCAUUCGAUGUGAUUUUCGAUUUGUCAUAAAAAUGAAGAAGACUUCAUAAAAUUUUACUUACUUGUUUUAACAUCGCUCAUGUAAUUGUUAAGCACGUGGAAGAGAACCAGAGACAAGAGCGAUAUGGAAAGGAAAUAGUUGACCAAUGCGAGAUUGCUUAACUGGCAGUCGAAGGUGAAUAUUGCUGUAUUGCAGCAUAAUGGAAGUGGAGUACAAGCGGCUGUUCAGUUUAUUACUUUUACCAACGCGGUUAUUGGAAAAUAUAAUCGAUGUGGUAUUUUUACCCCGAUCCCGGGAAAAUAUUUUUUUCUUGGGGGGCGGUCCAGGGACCUCAGACCCCGAAAGUCCGGGAUAAAGACCACGCCUGGACCCGGAUCCACUUACCCGAUAUAGACAAUAUGGGUAUCGAUUGAAAGCUUAUGGAAAUACCUAUACCAAGUGGUCACAAAUUAAAGCUGACACUCUUACCUUUCCAAAAUGCUACAAUAUGUGCUAAUACCUUUUUCGGGUCCAGAGAUAUGAGUCUUUCCAUCCACAUAACCCGAUUCUAACCAGUUCAUUAAAAUGAUGUUUUCAAUAAAAAAGGGUUUUUUUCGCGUAGCAGUCGUCGGAAUAACAAAAGUUUUCUAAAUUUGGCAUUUUUUGUAAAUAGCCGGCAUUCGGCCGGUGCUUGAGAUUUUCUCCUCUCGGUAUGUCCGACUCCGACUAACGCGAACAAAAGUUUUCUAAAUUCGGCACUUUUUGUAAAUAGGGCUUGAGAUUUUCUCCUCUGAGUAUGUCCCACACCGGCUAACGCGAACUAAAGUUUUCUAAAUUGGAUACCUUUUGUAAGUAGCCGGCCUUCGGCAGGGGCUUGAGAUUUUCUCCUCUGGGUAUGUCAUACACCGGCUAACGCGAACCAAAGUUUUCUAAAUUUGACAAUUUUUGUAAAUAGCCGGCCUUUGGCCGGGGCUUGAGAUAUUCUCCUCUGGAUAUGUCCCACACCGGCUAACGCAAACCAAAGUUUUCUAAAUUGGAUACCUUUUGUAAGUAGCCGUCCUUUGGCCGGGGCUUGAAAUUUUCUCCUCUGGAUAUGUCCUACACCGGCUAACGCGAACCAAAGUUUUCUAAAUUGGAUACCUUUUGUAAGUAGCCGGCCUUCGGCCGGGGCUCAGAUUUUCUCCUCUGGGUAUGUCUUAAACCGGUUAACGCGAACCAAACUUUUCUAAAUUUGACACAUUUUGUAAAUAGCCGGCCUUCGGCCGGAGCUUGGGAUUUUCUCCUCUGAGUAUGUCCAACACCGGCUAACGCAAACCAAAGAUUUCUGAAUCUGAUGCUUGCGCGAAAUAUACCUUUUUUAUUGAAAACUUAGUUUUAAUGAACUAGUUACAAUCGGGUUAUGCGGAUGGAAAGACCCAUAUCUCUGGACUCAGUAAAGGUAUUAGCACAAAUUGGAGCAUUUUGGAAAAAAUGAAAAGAAUACACAAAAAAGAAUUUUGCACAAAAAUGUAAUGCUGUUUAAUCAAUUAAUCAUUAUUUAAUAUUUUAGGGGCAAGCAAAGGAAUUCGGUCCGAAGCAUUUCGUAAAUUCCUCCGGCGUAUUUUUUCAGUAUUUUGUUCAUUACAUUGCGACUCAUUUACAGAAACAAUCGAAACUCCAGGCAUUGCAUAAAAAAAAUUAACGAAAUGAACUUUCUCUUUGCAGAAAAAACUCUCAUUAACUGAAUAUUUUUCACAAGUUACACUUCUACAAUGUUUUCUAAUCAUGUGUUUUUUUAUUCCUUAUUCAUCCGUUUUUUCAUUCCCCUAAUGUUACAAUAUUGAAUAUAUAAUGUUGCCAUAUAUAUGUACACUGAAUUUGUAGUUCCCCAAAUCGUACGAAAUCUGAAGAAGCUAAAACAAAAACGUACGGUUUUGAAUUGCGAAAUUUCGAUACGAUUUUGUGACAUGCCUGUAUAUAUGACUUUACCCGUAAAUGUAAAAAUGUAAACCAUUGUUAAUAAAACAUAUGAAAACGUAAAUAAAUGUUUUGAAAGAAUGAGGAUUUUUCCAUCCAUUGUAGUUUUAAAACGUGAAUUACAGCAUUACCUAAAAUUUGACGUGGCUAACACGUUUUUUUGUACACGUUUUUACUGGAAGCUGUUAGUUUACACCAGCACUGAUACGAAUCGUGUGCUAACACAUGAUUCCAAAAAAGAAAUUAUUGAAGAGUAAAUAAAAAUUAUUUUUAUACCCUCCACCUGGGAAGGGAGGGUAUAUUAACUUUGUCAUUCCGUUUGUAACAUCCUUAAAUAUUCGUCGUAGACCCCAUAAAGUAUAUAUAUUCAUAAUCAGCAUAAAAUUCUAAGUCGAUUUAACGAUUUCCGUCUGUCUGUCUGUCCGUCUGUCUGUCUGUUGAAAUCACGAUACAGUCCACAUUAUUUGACGUAGAGCGCCAAAAUUUAGCAGAGCAAUUUGUAUUAUGUCUAGGAUGGUUGGUAUUGAGAUAUAUCGGUCCACGUUCUGGUAUAGUCCCCAUAUAACGGUACCUCCCGAUAUUCGGUAUUUUGAUGAUUUAUGCCACAUUUUUUCACGGAUUUGUCUGAAAAUUGGUAUUUGUAGGUCAUGACGGGUUCCAGUUCCGGUGGCGGAACAUUGCAUGUAUGGGUCCAUGAUUUGGUAUAGCCCCCAUAUAACGGUACUUCCCGAUUUUCGGCAUUUUAAUGGUUUUUGCCACAUUUCUUUUAAUGUUUCCUUUACCCUAAGGUGGAGGGUAUUAAAAGUUUGGCCCGGCCGAACUUAAUGUUUUUUUACUUGUUUACUUUAUAUUUAUCCAUUCAUUUCAAUUGGUUGUUGUCCAAAAUUAUUAAUAUAGCGGUUUUUGAUGACUUAAAUUUUAAAAAUAAGUAAGAGAAAUUGGACUGGUUUACACUAAAGUCCAGCUAGUGAGAGCGAAAUGAGAGAGACAUUUUGACACAUGACUCUUAUUAGUUCGUUCCCAGGCCUACAUAAGGUCGACCAAGACGACUAUUUUCAGCGCUGCUCAAAAACAAGUCAGUGUUAUAACAUUAUAUAUAUAUUUUUAUAGUUAAUUAUUAGCCUUAUUAAGACUUUGGAAAAACUUCAUAUCUUAUUAUUUUUAAGAACAAUAUUUUUUACAAUAUAUGCAAAAAAUGUCAAUGUCCUGUCUUUCAAUUCUAAUUAAACGUUCAGUGAAUAAUUACAAAAACGCGGCGAUCUUAAAAUAUUAUUCUUUUAGAUAUGUUCAAUACAAAUAAAUCAAAUUUGCAAAUUUGUAAAAACAAUAUUUAAGUGUACAUUGCGGAAAUAUAUGUACAUUUAAACAUUUAAAGAGAUUAACAGUUCGGAAAAGACUGAAGUUCUUACUGGUGCUGUUAUAUUUUUAAUUUUUUACAUUUUCCUUUUUAUUUUCUAAAUACAAUAUAUUUUUUGUGUAUUUAACUUGUUAAAUUAAUUAAAUUUGUACAUUAAAAAUACA